CACGUAGGCACCAAGCGUUGUCCGGAUUUAUUGGGCGUAAAGAGCUCGUAGGCGGUUCAGUAAGUCGGGUGUGAAAACUCUGGGCUCAACCCAGAGAUGCCACCCGAUACUGCUGUGACUUGAGUACGGUAGGGGAGCAGGGAAUUCCUGGUGUAGCGGUGAAAUGCGUAGAUAUCUGGAGGAACACCGGUGGCGAAGGCGGCAUCCUGGACCAACACUGACGCUGAGGAGCGAAAGCCAGGGGAGCAAACGGG
rnacentral:rRNA from 1 species